rnacentral:tRNA from 1 species
GCCUGGGUGGCUCAGUCAGUUGGGCGUCCGACUUCGGCUCGGAUCAUGAUCGCACGGUCUGUGAGUUCGAGCCCCACGUCGGGCU